AUGUCAAGUGGAUCCGCCGAAUGGACCGAUGAGAACACUUGAAUUAUCGUGGAGUUGUUUGUGAAACAAGUGAGGGCUGGAAAUAUGCCAAACACUCAUUUGACACCCAAUGCAUAUGAUGAGGUGGGAAAGGAAUUCUUGAUGAGUACUGGACUUGAGUACAGACAAAAGUAAGUGAGGAACAAAUGGGACAAGUUAAAACGUGAGUACAACACAUUCAAGAAGCUCAAGUUGCGCGAGACUGGAGGAGAGGGGGGGGGGGUUGAGAAAAACACCGUGAAACAAGAUAAUGAGUGGUGGAAAAAGGCGAAAGUUGACCUCCCAGGUUGUGGCAAGUUCAAGAAGCAUGGACUUCUUAAUGAAGAAGGCCUGCUCAUCUUGUUUGAGGAUAUCAUCGUUGAUGGCAGUGACCACUGGAACCCCACAUCUGGCCUGCCUCCACCCUCUAGCUCGACAUUGAAAACAUCCUUGAACGUUGAUGAAAUAAAGGAUCUUGAUUUGGAGGAUGAUACCUAAGAGCAACCUUCUCCGACAGUAGCUAGUUCAUCUGUGAGGCUUGGGGUCACGAUUCCAAAGAAGAACAAGAAACCGAAGACUACACAAGUGAUGCAAGAGGAGAUUAGAAAGAUUAGUUCCAUUGCCCAUGCUUCGUACACAUCUUUUCAGUGUUUCUUAAAGAAAGAUGAGACCAUUUCUGUUGCCUCUACCAUGGAUUUAGUUCGUGCUUGUGGCGCAAUAGACGACACUGAUGAGCAUUUCAUUUUUGAUAAACAUAGUAGAAAACAAAAAAAAUCACCCUACGAACACCCAUGA
rnacentral:rRNA from 1 species